GGCGGGCCCCUGCGCAUUGUGGCACGGUGAAUCUGGUCAGGUCGGGAACGAAGCAGCCACAGCUGUUCCCCACAAGUGCCGCAGACAAGGCUCGCCUCU
rnacentral:SRP_RNA from 1 species